UACGUGAGGGGCAAGCGUUGUCCGGAUUUAUUGGGCGUAAAGAGCUCGUAGGUGGUUCGGUAAGUCGGAUGUGAAAUCUCCAGGCUCAACCCUGGAGGGGUCAUUCGAUACUGCCGUGACUAGAGUUCGGUAGGGGAGUGUGGAAUUCCUGGUGGGAGCGGUGAAAUGCGCAGAUAUCAGGAGGAACACCCGUAGCGAAGGCGGCACUCGUGGGCCGAUACUGACACUGAGGAGCGAAAGCGUGGGGAGCGAACAGG
rnacentral:rRNA from 1 species